rnacentral:rRNA from 7 species
GCACCAGAAGUAGAUAGCUUAACCUUCGGGAGGGCGUUUACCACGGUGUGGUUCAUGACUGGGGUGAAGUCGUAACAAGGUAGCCCUAGGGGAACCUGGGGCUGGAUCACCUCCUUACCUAAAGA